AUGCAUCAACUACUACUUGUUGUAUUCGAUCCCAGCUUCUUGUAUGAUGCAUCAUAUAACCUGUUGGGUGUUGGUGUUUUUCAGAAGCGAAUGGCGGAGGCGAUACUCAUUGCUGUGUCAAAGAUUGGGACAGUUGUUUUGAAUGAAGCUGUCACAGCUGUGGUACAGAAGCUGUCGAGGAAGGUUGAUGCUCUAAAGGAAUUGCCGGCAAAGGUCAAAAUAAUCGACAUAGAACUGACGACGAUGAAGGAUAUUAUUCAAGAUUUCGGUACAACACAACUCAGCAACAAUGUCAUCAAGGGUUGGAUUGGACAUGUAAGGAAGCUGGCCUACCGUGUCGAGGAUGUAAUUGAUAAGUACUCGUAUGAGGCUCUUAAGCUCAAGGAUGAAGGCUUCCUGCACCGGUACAUCUUCAGAGGUUCACGCCAUAUAAAGGUCUUUAGUAAGAUUGCCGAUGAGGUUGAAGAGAUAGAGAAGGAGAUGCUGCGCAUCAAAGGACUGUCUAAAUUAUGGAGGGACACUGUUCAACCCAUCAAAACUGAUCAUGCAAAGAUUGAUAAGCAGCGGUCUGGGAGCUGCUUUCCAGAACGUUUUAGUGACGAGGAUCUUGUGGGAAUUGAGGAAAACAGGAGUAAGUUGACUGAAUGGCUGACCAGCGAUGAUAAAGAAAGCACGGUGAUAACAAUUUCUGGUAUGGGAGGCUUGGGGAAAACCACGCUUGUGAAGAAUGUGUUUGACCGGGAGAAAACCAACUUCCCUGAUGCUCAUGCUUGGAUUGUGGUGUCCCAGGCCUAUGAUGUGGUUGAUUUGCUGGGGGCAUUGUUCACCAAGAUACAGCACACACAAGAGUCACUGAUGCCACCUAUUCUUAGCGUGGGGGCCAAAGCUGAUGUUUAUGAAUUGAUAGAAGCAAUAAAGAAGAUACUGCAAGGCAAGAAGUGUUUGAUCGUGCUUGAUGAUGUGUGGGACACAGAGGCAUAUACUCAGAUGUGCAAUGCGUUCCAGGGUCUUCAAGGGAGCCGUGUUAUGAUCACAACAAGGAAGGAAGAUGUUGCGGCCCUUGCUCCACCAAGUCGCCGCCUGCUACUCCAGCCAUUGGGCAGUGCCGAGUCGUUCAAGCUCUUUUGCUCAAGGGCUUUCCACAACAGUCCGGAUCAUGAGUGCCCUCCGGAGCUCGAGAAGGUGGCUGCUGAUGUAGUUGAGAGGUGUCAUGGCCUGCCAUUGGCCAUUGUAUCUUCUGGAAGCCUAUUGUCCAAGAAGCAAGCGACAGAGCACGCCUGGAAUCACAUGUACAAUCAUCUCCGAAGCGAGCUGCGGGGGAAUAACCAUGUCCAAGCUGUACUUAAUCUGAGUUACCGUGACUUGCCAGGUGAUCUCAGGAACUGCUUACUGUACUGCAGCUUGUUCCCUGAAGACUAUGCAAUGCCACGGGAGAUCCUUGUGCGCCUGUGGGUUGCUGAAGGAUUCGCGAUGAAGAAAGAAAACAGCACGCCAGAGGAAGUUGCUGAAGGAAAUCUCAUGGAGCUCAUCAGCCGGAAUAUGUUGGAAGUUGUGGAGUGGGAUGAGCUCUCCCGAGUUAGUAAAUGUAAGAUGCACGAUAUUGUUCGUGACCUGGCUCUUGCCGUGGCGAAGGACGAGAAGUUUGGCUCAGCAAAUGAUCCAGGCGAAAUGAUUCUCAUGGAUAAAGAAGUUCGUCGGUUCUCGACAUAUGGUUGGGUAGACACUAAGGCAGCUGCAGGAGUGGAAUUUCCACGCCUCCGUACCAUCUUGUCACUCGCGGCAGCUUCGUCCUCUACCAACAUGCUUUCAUCAGUUUUGUCUGGAUCCAGCUACCUUACUGUUCUCGAGCUUCAAGACUCUGCAAUAACCCAAGUGCCAGCAUCCAUUGGGAAUUUGUUUAAUCUCCGAUACAUUGGCUUAAGGCGUACCAAUGUCCAGUCACUGCCAGACACCAUUUGUAAACUCUCAAACCUCGAGACAUUGGACAUCAAGCAAACAAGAGUAGAAAACCUACCACCAGGAAUUGUAAAGGUUGAGAAGCUGCGACACCUUUUAGCGGACAGGUUUGCUGAUGAGAAGCAGACGGAGUUCCGGUACUUUGUUGGAGUUGAGGCGCCUCAAAUGAUCUCCAACUUUCAAGAACUGCAAACUCUUGAGACCGUUCAUGCCAGCAAAGACUUGUCGCUAGAGCUGAAGAAAAUGAAGAAGCUGCAGACUGUUUGGGUUGAUAACAUCAAUGCAUCUAAUUGUGAUGACCUUUUCAAAACUCUCUCAGAUAUGACCCUCCUUUCGAGCUUACUUCUCUCUGCAUUUGAUGAGAAGGUAACAAUUAGUUUCCAGGCACUCAAGCCAGUUUCUAAAAAUCUCCACAGGCUAAUCAUCAGAGGUGGCUGGGCUGAUGGGACACUCAAGUGCCCAAUAUUUCAGGGCCAUGGGAGGAAUCUCAAGUACUUGGCUCUAAGUUGGUGCAAUCUUGGGAAAGAAGAUCCGCUGCAGUUGUUGGCAUCUCAUCUGCCAGCUCUAACUUAUCUCAGUCUUAACAGGGUGAGUAGUGCAGCUAUAUUGGUCCUUUCUGCAGGGUCCUUUUCUAAGCUGAAGACACUCGUCUUGAAGUGCAUGCCUAAUGUCAAGCAACUGGAGAUUGAAGAGGGUGCCAUUCCACACAUUGAUGGGAUCUACAUUGUGUCGCUCUCGGAGCUGAAUAUGGUCCCUCGUGGCAUUGAAUCCCUUGGAACCCUAAAGAAGCUCUGGAUGCUGGGACUGCACAAGGACUUCAAGGCCCAGUGGAAUUUGAACCAGAUGCACAACAAGAUGAAGCAUGUUCCAGAGCUCCGUUCCUAG
rnacentral:rRNA from 1 species